AAAACCUAUAUAAUCUAUAAACAAACUUUCAGGCUCUUUUCAUUUUGGAUUUAAAUAUUAACCUUUGUUAAAGAUUGUAGUAAAGCUCAGUAGGUAUCAGUAGGUGCACAAGCAAAAUGUGCACAUCAGAUAGUAUUUCAGUGGUAACAGGUGGAACAUUGGUACUGCUAGAAGAGUAAUAAAAAAUAAUAACUCUUAGUGACAUGCAGCAGUAUAGAUACUGCUAUUGAAGAUUUGAUCAGGAUAUGUGUGUAGGCGCCAAACUGGGCAGCAUUCGCAUUCACAACUACAGCCUACGACAUUCCUGUGCUUUAUAGGGUUACUGAUGGUCAAACUAGAUUGUGAGACAUCCACUGGCAGUAGGAGUCAACCUGGCAUGGCUUCAGUUAGGACAGUUCAUGUGACUUUGACAGAAAGAAUGUAGAUCACAGUGUCAGUGGCCAGAAGAAAGGACGUUUGCAUAUGGAGUGUACAGAGCGGAAGCUUCAGUUUUUUAAUACACAUUCUUGACACCCAGCCAUAACAAACAUCACAGUGAGAAGGGAAAGGCCAUUGUUUAUAUAUUUAUUCUGUGGAAUCAAAUACCUUCGGUUUCGCUUAUCUUUCAUCACACUAUGAAAAAAGAGGUACUGGAAAAGCAUAGACAAAAGUGAAGGGCUUUAUGAACCCCAAAUACAUGUUUGAGUGGCUUCAUGGACAGUAGAUUUUGGAGCAUGGCUGUGGGGAUUUGUCCAUUCAGCCACAAGAGCAUUAGUGAGGUCAGAUACUGAUGUUGGGUGAGGAAGCCUGGGGUGCAGUCAGCGUUCCAGUUCAUCCCAAAGGUGUUCAGAGAGGUUGAGGUCAAGGCUCUGUGAAGACCAAUCGAGUUCCACUCCAACUUUUGCAAACUAUUUCUUUAUGGCGCUCGCUUUGUGUACAGGAGCAUUGUCAUGCUGGAACAGGUUCAGACCCCUUAGUUCCAGUGGAGGGAAAUUGUAAUGCUACAGCAUCCAAAUACAUUCUAUACAGUUGUGUGCUUCCACCUUUGUGGCAACAGUUUGGGGAAGACCCACAUGUGGGUGUGAUGGUCAGGUGUCCACAAACGUUUGGCCAUAUAGUGUAAAUGGCAUCGCACUACAAAAAUCUGCAGCUGUAACAGGGGUGUGUAGACUUUUUAUAUCCACUGUAGAUAAAAGAAAAGUUAACUACAUUUUGCACAUCCCUCACCAGAAUGAGUAUGGCAGCGUCAACAGCAUACUGUAUACUCAUGUUCAUGAAUGUGGCCUUUUCUGUAUAAGACUAGUACCAAUAAAUAGACAAGAAAUUUAUUGAAUGUAAAUAGAAAGUGAAAAUACACCUCACCUGUGAAAUGACUGAUAUAUCUUUGAAAACAAGAUGUAAAGGAUGGACAUUUCUAUAAUGAAUAUUGUCAAACCUGUUACUCUUAUGUCAUCUCUAACAUUGAUUCAUAUUUAAAUAAAUAUAAUAAAUACACAAAACAGAAUAAAAAAAUGAACAGAUUGAAUUGUUAGAAAAAUGGGAGAGCAAGUACAUGUUGUAAAUCAAUGAGAAAAUGAUUUAAAUUAUAGCUGUAUUAUUUAUUAAAUUAUAACUCUCAUAAAUUAAUUUGAAAGACAUUGUAAAAAAUAUUAAGGUAUUCUAGGUAUUGACCAUGUUAACUCCUUUGUACAAAAGGUCAGAUAUUCCUUGAGUCUUAUCCCUUCCACUGAAAAGUGUUCAGACGGUCUAAAAUGGAUUGUCAAGUUUUACACAAACUCAUUAAAGCAAAAGGGGGGCCAUAACACAUUCUAAGAAAGUACGGAUUUCAUGUAAAAAUUUCUAUGAUUUUACUUUGCACUUGAGUUAUUGUUGAUUAUAUAAACUGGAAUGAAAAAUGUUGUUUGAAAUUAGAAAAGAAUGCAAAAUAGAAGCAUUUUCACUAGUGGUCUCAAGCUUUUGGACCACAUUGUA